rnacentral:lncRNA from 1 species
AAGAAGAAUCGGAGUCAACUGAGGUAAAGUGGGAUGAAGACGAGAAAUUAACCAGGGAGGAGAACGAAGAGACACAGUGGAUAUUAGGAGAUUUCCAUGGUGCUCAAAAGAAAAGAGACGAAGAAGCGUCAGUAAUUGUGAAGGAAACAAAAUUUGAAAAGACAAUUGAGACGACGGUUGAUUUGUCGGGUAAGAGAUUGAGAAAUUUCGUUCGGGCAGAUGGACUCAUAUUUGGAAAAGAGCUCAAUUUUUCAUCAUGUUUUUCGGAUUCAAUCGGAAAGCAAUUCGAUGGCGUCAAGCAUAGAUGGAAACACAGAAAAGAGAGACGAUUAUUGGGCAGAACCUUGAGGACAAGGUUCGUUUCAAGAGGGGUGGAUUGAUACGAUAUGUUAUUUACUAUAUUAUUUAAUUAUUAGUUUAGUUAGUAGUUUAUUAUUAAUUAAUUAGAUUAGUAUAUUUAUAAUAUAUAUAUGGCCGUGAGUUAGUGGUUAGG